rnacentral:lncRNA from 1 species
GCAGGUAAACCAAAUGCAUCCCAUCCCAUUGGAUGCAAUACGUUGAAACCUUGCAUGCGUUUAAAUCUAGCAAGGAUAUCUGUUGCAGUAUAUCCAAGUGGAUGUCCAACAUGCAAACCAGCUCCACUGCAAGGAUAAGAAAUAGCAUCAAACUAAACAUUAAUAGACCGCGACUACAGAUCCUCAUGCAAAAGGAAAAGUUUGUCCAAUCUCAAUGGCCAAAAGUUACAAGUGCCAACCUCAAUGACUGAAAAUUGUAAGUCCUAAGAACAGAAGGUCAAUUGGCAAGUUCACAAUUGCUUGUCAACUAUCUACACCAACAUAUUCCUUUCAGUAACUGACUGUGGAAAUUUUGCACUUGUGCAGAAAGUGCACUUGGAUCUAGGAGAACUAGAGCAUUCAGUCAGUAUAUGGUUGUAUUCAAUGAGUGUAAUCAUCAUUGGCAGGUCUCAUACUAUAUCUAAUCUGGACAAUCGUGGACCAUGGAUUAUUCUGUGGCUUCUGUAUUAAUAAAUUUAUGAACAGAUUCAAGGAAAUUAAAUGCUAUGAAUGUUGGUAUUAUCAACAUAGUGGAAACGACUGUGUUGACAUUAAGCAGGGGAGUCAUACUAUAAGAAAAAUAAGAGAUUAGCUGCACUGCAGCAGCAGCAACUUUAUACUUCAUUUGAACUUGGAAAGGGUAUAACCGAAGUUGUUAGCAGUUCAUCUAAGCCAAGUCAAGCAAUUGGUAAUGCAUAUACCUAAAGUUGAUUAAGCCUCGUUUGCACUUGAUCGAGGUCUGAAUCUGAAUGGUUCGAACCUCAAACCAUUAAGUGCAAAUGUUGUUUUUAAGAUUUAACCACUUGAUGGGUCUGAAUAGACCAGAAUCAUCCAAAUCUUGAAUAGAGUCUUAAAAUAAUUAAGAGGCUAUACAGUUAAAGAUUUUUCCGAAAAUGACAUUUCACCUCAAUUCUAUCCACGACCACCGCCAGCUACCACCACCAUCACUGUCAACCACCACCUACCACCACCAUUGAUAACCACUAGCGUUAAUUGUAUAUUAGGGUUAGGGGGUAUGGAUCCGAGUGCAGGUACGGGUGCUGGGAUACAGCCAAUAAAUGUAUAUUACGCCAUAUAAAGUGUAUUUCGAUUAGUUAAAUUUAUUGAACUAAAACUAACAAAAUUGUAUUCUUUACAAAUACCAAUAUUUUAUUCAUAAGAUAUCUCGCGUAAUAGAAAAUAUAUAUAUAUAUGACAUAAACCCAACACGGUGGACACGGGUGCGGCAGGAAUUUUGAAGAGUAAUGGACGAGGCGCGCGGAAGUUGAUCCCGACAUCAUAUUUGUUGAUAAGAUUAGUUACAACCAUAACAAGAUACAGAAUUCUAAACACAUCGCUAACAUUUUACUAACUUGAAAUAACUCGUUCCAUUAUAAUUAAAUGUUGCUUGAUGUCCUCUGUUAAGUUAUUGUCUUUGUCUUGUAAGGAAUAUUAAUGCUAUAAGUUACAAGUAUGAAAACAAGAAAGGUAACACUAACUUUUUGAGAACUUUGUAUUUCUAUUUUAUAACUCAAACAUAUUACAAUUUUAGUGUGUUAGGAUUCAAAUUUUGAAGUUGGUCUAAAAGUAUUACUUCUAGGAUUCCGGACAUGGAGAUAUGUAAAGACACUAACUUUUAUUUAAAUUUCUGUCUAAUUGUACAGAAUCGAACAAAGAUGAUCAAUGUCCAAAUUCAAGAUAACUUUGUAGGUUCGACUUUGCAAAACUGAUAGAGAGAGUAUUAAAAAAAUGCUAGUCUAUAGUCAAUCCUUGGCACAUAGCAAACUGAAGUUGAAAGAGUGGGAUAAAAGUAUGAACCUUGGAUAAGGAAACAUAUCAAGAACAUAGAAUUUGGGCUUUGAAGUAUCAAUCUCAUCAGGGGUUCGAAAUGUCUUAUUCUCUUCCCAAUAGUGUUGCCAUUUUGGUUCAAUUUCGUGAAAUGGGUAAGGCCUUUUAACCUGCUGUUGCUGUUGGUCAUUAGCUUUUUGACCAUCAACUGCUUUUACUAGCUCAGCCACUGUAUUUUUGCUAGAACUCUUUGUACAGCUGGAGACUCGGAGGCGUAUAUGGGUAUAAGAUUGGUGGCGGAGUAAAGGGCGGCGGUGGGCGGAGAUUAUAAGUGAUAUACGGAGGCAUAGAGGAUGACGAGGGAGGAGCUGAGGAGGAAAGUGGUGGUGCGUGGAAGUUUGGAGCAUUGCUAGGGGGAGGGAAGUGAAGGAGUUCUGGAGUUGCAGUGGGUUUGAGAAAUUUUGAAGGUGGCAAUUUGGUGAGAAGAUGAAGAUUGGAUAAUGUAGUCAUGGGC